CGCAUCUGUGCAUGCAGCAUAUCAAUAAGCGGAGGAAAAGAAACUAACAAGGAUUCCCCUAGUAACGGCGAGUGAAGCGGGAAGAGCUCAAAUUUGAAAUCUUAAAGGGUUUCCCUUUACGAAUUGUAGCUUAAAGAAGUGUUUUCUGUUGAGGUUUUGGUAAAAGUUCUUUGGAAUAGGACAUCAUAGAGGGUGAGAAUCCCGUAUUUGACCUUUACUUUCAACUUUGUGAUACACUUUCAAAGAGUCGGAUUGUUUGGGAAUGCAGUCCAAAAUGGGUGGUAAAUUUCAUCUAAAGCUAAAUAUUGGCGAGAGACCGAUAGCGAACAAGUACCGUGAGGGAAAGAUGAAAAGAACUUUGAAAAGAGAGAUAAACAGUACGUGAAAUUGUCAAAAGGGAAGCGUUUGACACCAGUGUUGUUUUUCUGAAAAUCAAUUAAAGAACUGUUUAUGCUAAGUUGUUUAGACUUUAUCAGCUAACUGUUUAGUUUUGAGCUUUUCUUUAAUGCACUUUUCAGUUAACAAGUCAACAUCAAUUUCUUUUGCUGUAAAAAAGCUUGAGGAAGGUGGCUUGAGAUUCGUCUUAAGUGUUUAUAGCCUCUUGCCUAUGCAGUCGGAGAGAUUGAGGUCUGCAGCGUAGAUCCUUCGGGGCUAAAUGCAUUUGUGCUAAGUUAUAACAUUUUAUAGACAACUUGUUGACUACGAUUUGUCUUGUAGCUUACUCGCUUAUGUUAUUUUACCUACGCUUAGGAUGUUGACAGCAGUAUAGACUGU
rnacentral:rRNA from 1 species